rfam:Rummeliibacillus stabekisii strain PP9, complete genome.
GUGAUUUAUCCAUUUGUACCGUAGACCGUAGGGGCCUAGUGCUUAAUGAUCCUACCGAGGGCAAAGGAACUCAGACUCUUGUUUUAAAGAUGAUGAAAUUCCGCCUCUUGUCUACUGAUGGCAAGAGGCUUUUCUUUUGUCGGU